rnacentral:rRNA from 1 species
GACGAACGCUGGCGGCGUGCUUAACACAUGCAAGUCGAACGGAAAGGCCCUGCUUGCAGGGUACUCGAGUGGCGAACGGGUGAGUAACACGUGGGUGAUCUGCCCUGCACUUCGGGAUAAGCUUGGGAAACUGGGUCUAAUACCGGAUAGGAACCAUCUUUAGUGUAGUGGUUGGAAAGUUUUUUCGGUGUAGGAUGAGCUCGCGGCCUAUCAGCUUGUUGGUGGGGUAAUGGCCUACCAAGGCGGCGACGGGUAGCCGGCCUGAGCGGGUGUACGGCCACACUGAGGCGUAGAGGCGGCCCAGGUUGCUACGGGACGGCGCUGUGGGGAAGAUUGACCGAUCGGCGCAGGGCUGAUGCAGCGACUCCGCGGGGGGGAAAACUGUCUUCGUGUUGAAAAAAAUUUGCGUCAGUGACUAAGCUCAUUUUGACGGUACCUAAAUAGGAAGCACCGGCUAACUACGUG